AUAUAUAUAUAUAUAUAUAUAUAUAUAUGGUGUUUGUGCUAGACUUAACCCAAAUCACAACCUUGUCCAAGGAGUAUUGGAUAUUUCAACUGGAACAAGAAGGAUUUAGUUUUUCUUUUUUUUUUUUCCAAAUAUUUUUUUCUCUCUGUUUUCUUGGAAUCUAGCUUCAAUAGCUUGCUGCCACUUUAAAGUUUGAGCCCCACUCCCCUCCUACAGCACUCUCCUGUUCUACACCUAAUGACUCUAUGGCCAAAUUUAUUUUUGUUUCAACAUCAAUUUAAAUACUAUUGCUACUCCUACGACUAUUUUUUUUUUCAAGGGUUAUUACUAACUUCUAUAAAAAUAAA